UACGUAGGGGGCAAGCGUUGUCCGGAAUCAUUGGGCGUAAAGAGCGCGUAGGCGGCCCGGAAAGUCGGAUGUGAAAACCCGGGGCUCAACCCCGGGCCUGCAUCCGAUACUCCCGGGCUGGAGGCAGGUAGGGGAGAUCGGAAUUCCUGGUGUAGCGGUGAAAUGCGCAGAUAUCAGGAGGAACACCGGUGGCGAAGGCGGAUCUCUGGGCCUGUCCUGACGCUGAGGCGCGAAAGCUAGGGGAGCGAACAGG
rnacentral:rRNA from 1 species